rnacentral:tRNA from 1 species
GCGCCCGUAGCUCAGCUGGAUAGAGCGAUGCCCUCCGGAGUCAGAGGUCUCAGGGUCGAAUCCUGUCGGGCGCACCA